UAAAACAACGCACAUUGCUCGAUGCACU
rnacentral:sRNA from 1 species